UACGGAGGGUGCAAGCGUUAUCCGGAUUCACUGGGUUUAAAGGGCGCGUAGGCGGCCCUCUUAGUCGCGUGUGAAAGCCCCGGGCUCAACCUGGGAACGGCGCGCGAAACGGGAGGGCUGGAGUUCGGGAGAGGAGAGUGGAAUUCCCAGUGUAGAGGUGAAAUUCGUAGAUAUUGGGAAGAACACCAGUGGCGAAGGCGACUCUUUGGUCUGUAACUGACGCUGAGGCGCGAAAGCGUGGGAGCAACAGG
rnacentral:rRNA from 1 species